GCAGGUGUGGCUCAGUGGUAGAGCGCUUGCCCAGCAUGCACAAGGCCCUGGGUUCGAGUCCCAGCACUGCA
rnacentral:tRNA from 1 species